AUUGAACGCUGGCGGCAGGCCUAACACAUGCGAGUCGGACGGUAGCACAGGGGAGCUUGCUCCCCGGGUGACGAGUGGCGGACGGGUGAGUAAUGUCUGGGAAACUGCCUGAUGGAGGGGGAUAACUACUGGAAACGGUAGCUAAUACCGCAUAACGUCGCAAGACCAAAGAGGGGGACCUUCGGGCCUCUUGCCAUCAGAUGUGCCCAGAUGGGAUUAGCUAGUAGGUGGGGUAACGGCUCACCUAGGCGACGAUCCCUAGCUGGUCUGAGAGGAUGACCAGCCACACUGGAACUGAGACACGGUCCAGACUCCUACGGGAGGAAGCAGUGGGGAAUAUUGCACAAUGGGCGCAAGCCUGAUGCAGCCAUGCCGCGUGUAUGAAGAAGGCCUUCGGGUUGUAAAGUACUUUCAGCGGGGAGGAAGGUGCUGAGGUUAAUAACCUCAGCAAUUGACGUUACCCGCAGAAGAAGCACCGGCUAACUCCGUGCCAGCAGCCGCCGUAA
rnacentral:rRNA from 1 species